rnacentral:rRNA from 1 species
AACUAGAGUCUUGUAGAGGGGGGUAGAAUUUCAGGUGUAGCGGUGAAAUGCGUAGAGAUCUGAAGGAAUACCGGUGGCGAAGGCGGCCCCCUGGACAAAGACUGACGCUCAUGUACGAAAGCGUGGGGAGCAAACAGGAUUAGAUACCCUGGUAGUCCACGCCGUAAACGAUGUCUACUCGGAAUUUGGUACCUU